rnacentral:rRNA from 1 species
GACGAACGCUGACGGCGUGCUUAACACAUGCAAGUCGAAUGGAGUGGCGAACGGGAGAGUAACCCGUGGGUGAUCUGCCUUGCACAUAGGGAUAAGCGUGGGAAACUGGGUCUAAUACGGGAGAGUGCAAGAUGAGCUCGCGGCCUAUCAGCUUGUUGGUGGGGUAAUGGCCUAACAAGGCGUCGCCGGGUUGCCGGCCUGAGAGGGUGUACGGCCACAUUGGGACUUAGAUUCUGCCCAGACUCCUGCGGGAGGCAGCAGUGGGGAAUAUUGCACAAUGGGAGGAAGCCUGAUGCAGCGACGCCGCGUGGGGGAUGAAGGCCUUCGUGUUGUAAACUCCUUUCGACAGGGACGCGGUACCUGUAUAAGAAGCACCGGCUAACUACGUGCCAGCAGCCGCGGUAAGAC